rnacentral:rRNA from 1 species
GAUGAACGCUAGCUACAGGCUUAACACAUGCAAGUCGAGGGGCAGCAUGAACUUAGCUUGCUAAGUUUGAUGGCGACCGGCGCACGGGUGAGUAACACGUAUCCAACCUGCCGAUGACUCGGGGAUAGCCUUUCGAAAGAAAGAUUAAUACCCGAUGGCAUAGUUCUUCCGCAUGGUGGAACUAUUAAAGAAUUUCGGUCAUCGAUGGGGAUGCGUUCCAUUAGGUUGUUGGCGGGGUAACGGCCCACCAAGCCUUCGAUGGAUAGGGGUUCUGAGAGGAAGGUCCCCCACAUUGGAACUGAGACACGGUCCAAACUCCUACGGGAGGCAGCAGUGAGGAAUAUUGGUCAAUGGACGAGAGUCUGAACCAGCCAAGUAGCGUGAAGGAUGACUGCCCUAUGGGUUGUAAACUUCUUUUAUACGGGAAUAAAGUGAGGCACGUGUGC